rnacentral:rRNA from 1 species
GAUGAACGCUGGCGGCGUGCCUAAUACAUGCAAGUCGAGCGAACGGACGAGAAGCUUGCUUCUCUGAUGUUAGCGGCGGACGGGUGAGUAACACGUGGAUAACCUACCUAUAAGACUGGGAUAACUUCGGGAAACCGGAGCUAAUACCGGAUAAUAUUUUGAACCGCAUGGUUCAAAAGUGAAAGACGGUCUUGCUGUCACUUAUAGAUGGAUCCGCGCUGCAUUAGCUAGUUGGUAAGGUAACGGCUUACCGAGGCAACGAUGCAUAGCCGACCUGAGAGGGUGAUCAGCCACACUGGAACUGAGACACGGUCCAGACUCCUACGAGAGGCAGCAGUAGGGAAUCUUCCGCAAUGGGCGAAAGCCUGACGGAGCAACGCCGCGUGAGUGAUGAAGGUCUUCGGAUCGUAAAACUCUGUUAUUAGGGAAGAACAUAUGUGUAAGUAACUGUGCACAUCUUGACGGUACCUAAUCAGAAAGCCACGGCUAACUACGUG